ACUCAAAGGAAUAGACGGGGGCCCGCACAAGCGGCGGAGCAUGUGGCUUAAUUCGAUGCAACGCGAAGAACCUUACCUGGGCUUGACAUGCGGGGUGAAGCCGUGGAAACACGGUCCUCUACGGAGCCCGCACAGGUGGUGCAUGGCUGUCGUCAGCUCGUGCCGUGAGGUGUUGCCUUAAGUGGCGCAACGAGCGCAACCCCUGUCCCUAGUUGCCAGCGGGUCAUGCCGGGAACUCUAGGGAGACUGCCGGUGCCAAACCGGAGGAAGGUGGGGAUGACGUCAAGUCAUCAUGCCCCUUAAGUCCAGGGCUGCACACAUGCUACAAUGCGCGGUACAGAGGGCUGCGAUCCCGCAAGGGGGAGCGAAUCCCAAAAAGCCGCGCUCAGUUCGGAUCGGGGUCUGCAACCCGACCCCGUGAAGUCGGAGUCGCUAGUAAUCGCAGAUCAGCAACGCUGCGGUGAAUACGUUCCCGGGCCUUGCACACACCGCCCGU
rnacentral:rRNA from 1 species